UGCCAGCCGCCGCGGUAAUACGUAGGGUGCAAGCGUUGUCCGGAUUUAUUGGGUUUAAAGGGUGCGCAGGCGGUCUAUUAAGUUAGUGGUGAAAUCGUCCGGCUUAACCGGAUACCCGCCAUUGAUACUGGUAGACUUGAGUAUGUCAGAGGAAGUUGGAAUGCGUAGUGUAGCGGUGAAAUGCAUAGAUAUUACGCAGAACACCGAUUGCGAAGGCAGAUUUCUAUGGCAUUACUGACGCUCAGGCACGAAAGCGUGGGUAGCGAACAGGAUUAGAUA
rnacentral:rRNA from 1 species